AUGACACCACAAGAGAAGCAACAAAGUAACACCCUAAGAAGGGUGGCCUACCAAUAUAUGAUGAUCAAGGAGAAGCAACAGAGGAAUAGCUGCAGAAGGGUGUCGUACCAAAAUAUGUCGAUCGAGGAUAGACAAGAGAGGAACAGCUACAGAAGGGCGUCCUACCAAAAUAUGGCAAUUGAGGACAAGCAAGAGAGGAACAGGUGCAGAAGGGCAUCAUACCAAAAUAUGCCGGUCAAGGACAAGCAAGAGAGGAACAGAUGUAGAAGGGUGUCCUACCAAAAUAUGUCGGACGAGGAGAAGCAAGAGACAAACGCCCGCCGAAGAGCACGUGUGCACAACAUACCACCCAAGGAGAAGCAGAAUAUGCUAGCUCAACGCAACACAAUACUCGCAGCUAGGCGCAACAUCCCUUGCGCUGAAUCCAUUGCAAUGCCACGCCCAGAUGCAACUACCUUAGCUACACCCAACCUGAUGUCGAGCACUCAUGCAUUGGCUGUCAGAGACCCCGCCGCUUCGGCUCCUCCCCCCGGCGAGUACCUUAGUCAUACCUUGGAUGAUAAUGAGGCCCCCAGUGACCUCAUAAAUGCCUCUGAGCAAACCAAUGAUCAGCGAAUACGCGACAUCCAGAAUCAAGCCCAUGAGCAGAGGCAGGAGACCAGAGCACAACCUGACAUGGAGGCCUUCCUUAGCGGCAUCAUGGACGAGAAUGGACUCUCCGGUGACCUCAUGGAUGAUGAGUACUACCUAUUUUCCGGUGAAGGAUCCGACGCUAAUAGCACAGAUGUCAAUGAGCCCGUAGACUCCUCGAACACGGGAUCUAUCGAGCUUGAUCCUUUCGACUAUGUGGAGAUUGAGCUGGCUGAACCGGAGCCUAUCCCGGAGAUGAUGAGGUUAUGGUCUAGCGCGGAUGCAGACUCUUGGAAUUUCCGGGAGAACAUUCGGUUCUUCAACGGGCACUUCUCCUUCACUACCCUUGGCGUCAGCCUAGAUAACAACUACACAAACAUGAAGUCUGAGGUGUACACAUUUCGGGCACAUGGCACUAUGUACCACAAGGUGCACUCAUUCGGUCCAAGAUCUUGUCCGAAACAUCUGCAGUUGUACUUCUAUGACGACAACCCUAGCUUAAGCCAUCACAAGGAGGCCACCAAGCAAUUGGACCAGUGUGUUGUUAGCAAGCUGAAGUGGAUCAGGGACCACCAAACGCAGAUACAUGUUGAUCUAUACCAAGGCCUUGUGGAUAGCAUGGCAGUUGGGGAGAUGCAAGCGAGCGCUGUUGGCAAGAGGAUCGUGCUCCCAGGGACACAUAUGGGGUGCGGACGAGACAUGAAGCAGAGGCAUAUGGACGCCAUGGCAUUGGGGCAGACGUAUGGGAAGCCUGACAUCUUUUUGACUAUGACAUGCAACCCUAGCUGGGAGGAGAUAUUCAAUGAGCUACUUCCUGGCCAGACACCCCAGGACCAAUUAGAUGUUGUGGCACGCGUGUUCAGGGCCAAGCUGGAGACCAUGAAAGAGAUGUUGUUCAAGAAGCACAUCCUGGGUGUUGUGGUAGCACAUGUGUAUGUCGUUGAGUUCCAGAAGAGGGGCCUCCCCCAUGUGCACUUCCUAUUGAUUAUGAAUUCAAAUUAUAAACUUGUGGUGCCAGAGCAGUAUGACCGCCUCAUAUCUACAGAGCUCGCGGACAAGCAUAAGUAUCCAGAGCUCUAUGCCAUGGUAGUGAAGCAUAUGAUGCACGCCCAUGCGGGGAAGGAUUCAUACCCGGUCUAUCGACGGCUGAACGAAGGUCUUAGGGCUAAGGUCCGCCGUCAUCUGCUAGAUAAUAGAUGGGUGGUGCCUUACAACCCUUAUCUGUUGUGGAUGUUCAACUUCCACAUUAAUGUUGAGGUGUGCUCCAGCAUCAAGGCCGUCAAGUACCUUUACAAAUACGUAUACAAGGGCCACGAUCGAGCUUCAAUCAGCAUCGACCAGCCUGACAGCAACGGGGUUGUAGACGAGAUUAAAAGAGUCAACAGAGUUCGCGAUGCCAGCCUCACUCAGGAGGCUCUUUGCAACAAUCUUGGUAUUCUGCGAGCCAGGGGCAUGCUACAGUCCAUGGGCAAAGACAUAGCAUUGUUCCCUCUUCCGGACAUCAACGAGACCUAUGACACUACUGGAGGUGAGGCCAGAGAAGUCACCGAGGAGUCCACAAUCAAGCUUGACGCGAAUGACGCUGCUUUAGCAUCCUCGCUAAACCCUGAGCAGAGGCUUGCAUACGACGAGAUACUGGCAAUAGUCGAUGCCGGGGGUGUAUUCUUUGUCGAUGGCCCGGGAGGCACCGGGAAGACCUUCCUAUACAAGGCACUACUCUCAAAGGUUCGAGGCGAGGGCAAGAUCACGGUGGCUACGGCGAUGUCUGGCGUCGCAGCUUCCAUCAUGCCUGGAGGAAGGACAACCCACUUGAGGUUCAAGAUCCCACUCAGCAUUGAAGAUGGGGGGUCAUGCAGCUUCACCAAGCAAAGUGGGACGGCAAAGCUCGUGCACAUGGCUUCGCUCAUCCUAUGGGACGAGGCCACCAUGACGAAGCUGCAAUCGGUUGAGGCACUGGACAAUACUAAUGGGUUGUGUAACGGCACAAGGCUUGUGGUCCGGGGUUUCCAAAGGAAUGCCAUCGACGCAGAAAUCGUGCUAGGACAACAUGAUGGUAGGAGGGUGUUCCUUCCUCGAAUACCUCUCUGCCCAUCUGAUGACGAUAUAGUCCCUUUCAAGUUCAAGAGGAAGCAGUUCCCUAUUAGGCUCAUCUUUGCCAUGACAAUCAACAAGGUGCAAGGGCAGACCAUCCCGAUUGUCGGGGUGUACCUACCAGACCCGAUUUUCUCUCGCAGUCAGCUCUACGUUGCAUUGUCUAGAGCCACCACGAAGAGGAACAUUAAGAUUCUCGCCAUCAAGGACAACAGCAAUGGUAAGGGCAAUGGUAAGGGCAAGGGCAAGGACGAAAGCAAGAAUUCAAAGAAGCAAAAAAGAUCUAAGCCCUUAUUAACGACCAUGAAGAACAUAGUCUACAAGGAAGUCCUUAGCACAUGA
rnacentral:rRNA from 1 species